rnacentral:rRNA from 1 species
UACGCAGGUGGCAAGCGUUGUCCGGAAUUAUUGGGCGUAAAGCGCGCGCGGGUGGUUCUUUAAGUCUGAUGUGAAAGCCCACGGCUCAACCGUGGAGGGUCAUUGGAAACUGGGGAACUUGAGUGCAGAAGAGGAAAGUGGAAUUCCAAGUGUAGCGGUGAAAUGCGUAGAGAUUUGGAGGAACACCAGUGGCGAAGGCGACUUUCUGGUCUGUAACUGACACUGAGGCGCGAAAGCGUGGGGAGCAAACAGG